GGCUCCACGGAAAGACUGUGGAAACGCAGAGAGCGGGGAAAUGAAGAGGGACACGUCACUCAUUGCAAGCUGAAAUGCAGAGGGGGUGGUGAGGAGAAGAGGAGCAGGGAGGCAGAGAUUUGGAAGCCUCAUCACAGAAGGACUGGCCUCAAGAGCACAGUAUUUUCUAGUGUGACACUGCAAGGGAUCCAGAGACAUAUUUGCAAUGGGCUUGGGAUCUGGUUCCUAUUACAGAUGACCCUGCAGACUUUUUCUGCUAGAAACCUUAUUAGUGAAUAUCCAUUUGCCUUCUACAAUUCCACCUAAGGGAGGGAAGAUUGCUCAAUUUCUGUAGCAGGGGAAAGUCAAGGUCCUACAAACAGCCAUCAUGGUGACUCUUCCUCUUUUCCUCUUCUUCGUCCUCUUGCCCUGCAGUAAAUCCCAGGAGGAAUUUCUGGACCACCAGAAAUGGAACUACAGAGAAGGCGCUGACAAAGUCAACAUAGAAGGCAUUAACAGCAUUACUCAAACACUUGAGAAAUGGGGAAACGGCAUCUUCUGGCAAAUGAAACACACCCUACCGAAUGCUUUGCUGCCUGAGUUCUCCAGUCUCCGCCCUGUCUCCGCAGCUGUGGACAAUCUCGUGAGGGAAGUCCAGUCGAUAAGGAAAAGGCUAGAAGAACUGAACGAACGUCUCAAUGUCAUCAGCAAAACCAUCCUUCCCAUCCGAAUGAAUGCUCUGCAGAGCCAGAGGCGUGGAAAUACUCAGCUGCGGAGACUUCCAAUGCAUAGGAGAAGGUUGUAUGCUCGCAGGAGACCCCAGAGGAGUUAAUUCUC